CUUGAGCCAAAACCCUGAAACUUGCUUCCCUACAGCUAGUUCCGGUGACAACACUGGAAUGCCUCCACACUCCAGACAAUGCCAACAUUGCCAUGCAAGGAUGUAAAAAUUGGAGGCUGCAAUGAAUCAACCUUGGGAAAGAAGCCAACAAGGCAGCAGAGAGAAUCAUCCAGAAACAAAGCCAGAGCCUUAAUGACAGCAUGAAGCCCUGGAUCAAACCAUUCUUGAUUUAGAAUAUCCCAGGGGAUCUUUGCCGAAUGCAAGGGAAGAAGAGUAACAGAAGAAAGCUCAGGAAUGGCAGGAUCCCUGAUUUGACCAAGGCAGCAAAGUACCAAGCCUGUUCAUAAAGCAGAUUAAUAAAUUAUGUCAUUUCCACCUGUGCCUGAGUGACAAAGCCAAAAAGCACAAUAACAGCAACAACAACUAAAGGAAACACCAUUCUGGCCAAAUCCCAUUUUAUAGAUGUGCAAACUGAAGCCCAGAAUGGCAACGAGACUCUCUCAAGGCUUUCUGAUUCCCAGGCUGCUCGUCUCACCAAUAUUCAAUGAUAUUUGAUGACUCUCAUUCAAUUCAUAUUGCGAUUACCUUCUAAUCAUGACAAGUGAACCUGUUUUGUUUUGUUUUGUUUUUUGUUUUUUUUUUUAAUUUAUGGUCAUGAUAUCACAUUUCCACUUAAAAUGAGCUUUGGUUGCUGUUAAAGCUUCCCACAGUUGAGGCCAACUUGAAACAAGGCCCUUAACAAUGCUGCCAGGUCUGUGUCCACCCCACCCCCACCAUCAUCAUCACUCCCCGAUGUGAGCAGACACAGGAUUUUCACCAUCCUCUACUGCCCCUUGCUGGCAUCCCCAGAAAUGCCCCAUGAUUUCAGUCCUUCUCUCCCCAAGCCUGUAUGGAAAACUAGAAGCUGAGAGAUGCAGAGAUUCCUCUAAAGCAGGGUCUCUCACUAUUUACAUUUGGGACUGGAUAAUCCUUUGUUACGGAAGCUGUCCUGUGCAUUUACAGGAUGGUUAGCAGCAUCCUUGGCCUCUACCCAUUAGGUGCCAGCGGCACUUCCAUCCAAUUGUGCCACCAAAAAUGUCCCCAGACAUUGCCAAAUGUCCCCUGGGAGCAAAAUCAUCCCUCCUCGAACCAUGGGUUACUCUAGAUGGAUGAGUGACACGUUCUUAU